rnacentral:rRNA from 1 species
GAUGAACGCUGGCGGCGUGCCUAAUACAUGCAAGUCGAGCGAACAGAUGAGGAGCUUGCUCCUCUGACGUUAGCGGCGGACGGGUGAGUAACACGUGGAUAACCUACCUAUAAGACUGGGAUAACUUCGGGAAACCGGAGCUAAUACCGGAUAAUAUAUUGAACCGCAUGGUUCAAUAGUGAAAGACGGUUUUGCUGUCACUUAUAGAUGGAUCCGCGCCGCAUUAGCUAGUUGGUAAGGUAACGGCUUACCAAGGCAACGAUGCGUAGCCGACCUGAGAGGGUGAUCGGCCACACGGGAACUGAGACACGGUCCAGACUCCUACGGGAGGCAGCAGUAGGGAAUCUUCCGCAAUGGGCGAAAGCCUGACGGAGCAACGCCGCGUGAGUGAUGAAGGUCUUCGGAUCGUAAAACUCUGUUAUUAGGGAAGAAAAAAUGUGUAAGUAACUAUGCACGUCUUGACGGUACCUAAUCAGAAAGCCACGGCUAACUACG